ensembl:Mt_tRNA
GUUUCUAUAGUUGAAAACAACGACAGUUUUUCAGACUGUAGGUCUCGGGUAAUAUCCGAGUAGAAAUU